CUCAACUUCUCUGCUGUCCCACGAACAGAACCAGCCCGCUAACCUCUCCCCCCCCUGCCCCGUCCGGGCAUCUCCGGUGACACGGCGGACACCUACAGAUUCCCCUCGUCUCCCUCUACCAUUUCCCCCUAUUUAUUUGAUCCGCCGCCACCAAAAACAUCGCCACCACUCAAUCCUAGCGCUGCCUGAUCGAGGUCCGGUGGGCUUGCCACCGGCUGCAGCGGCAAUGACGUCUCCAUGCCUAUAUCCUCCCCCAGCGCAGCCACACGCACAAGGCGCGCAGCCACGGGCAUCGGGCGUGUGCGGCUUCACCGGCGCUGCCCGGUUGCCAUGGCUUUGCUGCUAACGGUGUGGAGUAGCCACAUCCUACUGCUACUACUGGUAAAUAGAUCAAGGUGAAUAGAUGCUUAUGGACUGAUUCAAACCAAGGUGGAGAUAGAUAAGAAAUCAAGUAAGAAGGGCUAACACAACAAGGUACUUGAUUAGUACCUGGUGGCGCAUGCAACCCAAAGAGCCUCACAGCAGGGGAGGAUAGCAGUGUGGCAGAAGGUGAAAAGGCAGAGGGUUUUCUCCAGCGGAUGAUUGUGUGUGGCCAGAGUGAAAGGGAUGGCUCCUAUUUAUAGUGGGGUGAAUAGCUAUCUCGGUUUGGAGAGGCAUUGCAUCUGGCAUGCAUGCGUGGUUAGUCUUGCAUGCAUGCCUCCACUUGUGUCUCUUGUGGGCUGUACUAGGGACAAGUGUAAUUUUCUUGGCUGGCCAUUAGUUGGCAUUUACUUUGUGUGAAGGAAAUGAUACAAGGGUCUAUAAAAUAUAGGGAGGUAUGGAGAAGAAUUGUUGUGUAUGACUAAAUGCUAUUUGCUGUAAUAAAAAUAAUAAUUAAGUGUAGUUAUUUCUAUUAUUUUAA